UGGGAUUAACACACUGAGAUUGGACGGAGAUAAGGGUUUCAAGGGACAAAAAAGGAACAUUUGUUGGAAACAUGCCAGAGCGUCUCCACCCUCCAUCAGGACAGACUGACAGAGUGGGCUGGGGACAGGACACCCCACAUCCCUUCUGGUUCCCUGGGCACCCCCUGCCCUUUGACCUGGGCCACCAGAUCACAGCCUUGUCCACUCGCCAGAGCCCUGGCACCACGGGCACACCAUGCCCCACCGGUGCCCUGCCCAACCCUGCUCCCUCCCAGAUUCCCACCCAGGCAGCCUUUCUCAGGUACACAAUGUGCAAGACUCACUGUGACCUGCCCACCAGGCCCCCCUGAGCAGGCCCUGCAGAGGCGCCAACCUUUCUGAGGGUCAGAGGUGAGGGUGAGCUUCUGGGUGGCCUUCCCGGAGGAGAAGGGGGCUUAGGGCUGUGCCUGAGCUCAAGGUAGUGGGGAUCCAACAUCCCAGAGGGGCUGCAGAAGGCCAGAGAGGCAGGAUGGGGUGAGCUGCAGGCCCCCUAGCCCAGAGGCCCAUCAGAACUACCCUCAGCUGCCAGGCAUCCGGCCCCACCCCGGAGGAAAGGCAAGGCAUGGCUGGGGUUGGGUGGAGGGAGCCAGGCCAGAGCACUGCAGCGUGCAACUCGAUCAGAAGCCUGUCACAGUGGGUGCAGUCCCAGGCCAGCGGCCCCCCCGGACACCUUGGGGGCAUAAAGCCUACAGAGGAGCCACCUCAGCUCUGUCCUGCUCUUGUGUCCCAAGGAGACGCCAUGCCACCUUGCUGCACGAUGCUUUGGGCUCUGCUGAUCAAUUCCCUCCUUGCCCUGCUCUGGGUGUCCCCAGGCCAGGCCCAGGUCCCCAUCCAGGCCAACUUUGAUGCUAGCCAGGUGCGCCCAGCCCUGUUUCCUCCUCCUCUCCAAUGAGUCCUCCCAGCUUUGGCACUGCACCCCAGGUCCCUGUCCACACUCUCUUUGAUCCAGGCUCAGCAGGGCUGGGGGCAUGGGAAACCCCCCACCACACCUGUUCCAUCUGACUGGCGUAGGCGUUGGCUGGGGAAGACUGCAGGCCUCCAUCCUAGCUUUUCGGUUGCAUCCCCCAUCACUCCCCAGGGCCCAAAAUUGGGACAAGUUACAGCUGCCUGCCCCUCACUGUCCCCCACCCACCCCACAUAGACCUGUGACCUUGCCACAGCCCCACCCAUCCAGCCGUACCCCCUGGGUGCCAGCUGCAGACAGGCCGGUGCUGGGCUGGUGGAGGCCAGUUGCUCAUCUGCUGAGGCCCCCCUCCCUCAGUUCUGCAUCAGGGUGGAGGUGUGUACAGCAGCCCCUGUCCUGGCCAGGAAGCAGCUGUGUCAGGACAGAACGUGGUGGGCUCAGGCCCAGGGCACAGGAGCGGCCUUCCAGCCUUCCCUGCACUUGCCCUGCAGUUCCAGGGCACCUGGUACAUGGUCGGGGUGGUGUCAGAUGACCAGGACUUCCUGGACUCCAAGGACACCAUGAAGAUGCCUGUGGUCUUAGUGACCCCCUUGGAGAACAGUGACCUGGCCCUCAAGUUUGGAUAUCCCAUGUAAGUGACCCCACAAGCCCGUCAGACUCAGCCUCAGAUGAGGCCAGAUGAAGGUCCAGAGGGACCACGGUGUCCCCAGCACAUCGGGGUCAGACCACGGGUCCUUAAGGGCUCCGUGCUGCAGAGCUCCAGAUGGCAGCCACACGGUGUCCAGAGGGACCCAGGCCCUGGAGGAAGCACCGCCUGAGGCCCAGUGUUGAGAAAAGUGUCUGCAUGUCUGUGUGUGUGUAUUACUGUAUGUGGCUGUGUCUGUGUGUGUGUCUAUUUCUGCAUGUGUGUGUGUG